AACGUAGUUACUUGGCGCGGNAAUGNAAUGCAAGUCGAACGAGAUUUUUUUCUGUAGCAAUACAGGAAAAAGUCUAGUGGCGAACGGGUGCGUAACACGUGAGCAACCUGCCGUGAAGUGGGGGAUAGCUCGCCGAAAGGCGAAUUAAUACCGCAUAUGGCCAAGGAAGACAUCUUCCUGACGCCAAAGCCGGGGUAACCUGGCGCUUCUCGAGGGGCUCGCGGCCUAUCAGCUUGUUGGUGAGGUAACGGCUCACCAAGGCUAUGACGGGUAGCUGGUCUGAGAGGACGACCAGCCACACUGGAACUGAGACACGGUCCAGACACCUACGGGUGGCAGCAGUCGAGAAUUUUUCACAAUGGGGGAAACCCUGAUGGAGCGACGCCGCGUGGAGGAUGAAGGUUUUCGGAUUGUAAACUCCUGUCAUUAGAGAACAAGGCACAUGGUUUAACUGGCCGUGUGUUGAUAGUAUCUGAAGAGGAAGGGACGGCUAACUCUGUGCCAGCAGCCGCGGUAAUACAGAGGUCUCAAGCGUUGUUCGGAUUCAUUGGGCGUAAAGGGUGCGUAGGUGGCGAGGUAAGUCGGAUGUGAAAUCNUCAAGCUCAACUUGGAAACUGCAUUCGAUACUGCUUUGCUAGAGGAUUGUAGNAGGCAUUGGAAUUCACGGUGUAGCAGUGAAAUGCGUAGAUAUCGUGAGGAAGACCAGUGGCGAAGGCGAAUGCCUGGGCAAUUCCCUGACACUGAGCACGAGGCCAGGGGAGCAAACGGNAUUAGAUACCCCGUAGUCCUGG
rnacentral:rRNA from 1 species